AUUGAACGCUGGCGGCAGGCCUAACACAUGCAAGUCGAACGGAUGAGCGGACCUUGCUCCUGCAUUCAGCGGCGGACGGGUGAGUAAUGCCUCGGAAUGUGCCUGGUAGCGGGGGAUAACGUCGCGAAACGGGAGCUAAUACCGCAUACGUCCUGAGGGGGAAAGUGGGGGAUCUUCGGACCUCGCGCUAUCAGAUGAGCCUAGGUCGGAUUAGCUAGUUGGUGGGGUAACGGCCCACCAAGGCGACGAUCCGUAGCUGGUCUGAGAGGAUGAUCAGUCACACUGGAACUGAGACACGGUCCAGACUCCUACGGGAGGCAGCAGUGGGGAAUAUUGGACAAUGGGCGAAAGCCUGAUCCAGCCAUGCCGCGUGUGUGAUGAAGGUCUUCGGAUUGUAAAGCACUUUAGGUUGGGAGGAAGGGCAGUAAGUUAAUACCUUGCUGUAUUGACGUUACCAACAGAAUAAGCACCGGCUAACUUCGUG
rnacentral:rRNA from 1 species